CGGGGGGCUGCAGCAGUAAGGAAUAUUGCGCAAUGGAGGCAACUCUGACGCAGCCAUGCCGCGUGCAGGAAGAAGGCCUUAUGGGUCGUAAACUGCUUUUAUUUAGGAAUAAACCCCCGAACGUGUUCGGGGCUGAAGGUACUAAACGAAUAAGCACCGGCUAACUCCGUGCCAGCAGCCGCGGUAAUACGGAGGGUGCAAGCGUUAUCCGGAUUUAUUGGGUUUAAAGGGUGCGCAGGCGGGCUAUUAAGUCAGUGGUGAAAUCCCGGGGCCCAACUCCGGAACUGCCAUUGAUACUGAUAGUCUUGAGUUUGGUUGAAGUGGGCGGAAUGUAGCAUGUAGCGGUGAAAUGCAUAGAUAUGCUACAGAACACCAAUCGCGAAGGCAGCUCACUAAGCCAAAACUGACGCUCAUGCACGAAAGCGUGGGGAUCAAACAGGAUUAGAUACCCUCGUAGUC
rnacentral:rRNA from 1 species